CUUUAUAUAGUGUCAUAAAGAAUGAUGCAUUAUAAAAGAUAAAUUUCAAAUUUCAAGGUAUAGCUUAAAUCAAAUAUAAUUUAACCAAGAAAAACCUUACAGAUUGCAGAUAUACAUAGAGUAGGGGGCAUUUCUUUGACAGAAUCCUGUGAUGUUUGCUUUUUAAAAAAGCAUUGUAAGCAGGCAAAACUAAGAGGCGUAAAGCUCUUGAAUAAAACAGUUUCUUUUUCUUUUUGAAAGAGAGUUAAGUCCUGAAUUCAUAAGUUGUUUUACAAACCCAACCCCCAAACACUCAGAAUUUAUUUUUGCUUCUUGUCCUCUUCAGUAUUUCAUUUGGCUGUCUUUAUCAACUUUGCCAGUUCUUUAUCAACUUUAAAUAGCUAUUUUGUGUAUUUGGGGUCUUAAUCCCUUUUUUGACAUGUGGUACAAAUAUAUUAUCCCAGUCUCUCAGUUGGCUUUUGACUUUGUGGUUUGCUUGACAUAUAGACUACUUUAAUUAUCUAAUCAUGCCUGUCAGUCUUUUUCUUUAUAAUUUCUAGGUUCAUGUCUUGGUCACCACCAUUCCACCAAAGUUAAUAAGUCUAAUUUUUUUUCUAUAUUUUUGUCUUGUUAAGUUUAAAUUUUGUUUUUCUCAUUUUUGCAACUUGGGCAGAAAUUUCUUUGUUGUUUAAUAUAAAUGAGCCUGUUUAUUAUGCUGUUGAAUUUCUUCUCUUGAUCAAAAACUUCUUUCUUCACUGUUUAGGGAUAUAAUUAUUUUAAACAACCUCUCUUGAUUUUGAAGAAAUGCUUUUCUGGUUUUUCCAGGUCAAUUUGGACGCUCUACCUGUGUUUGAAAAUAAUCGUGUAUUCAUCUAAUAACAGUUCUGUCUGCAGGUUUGCCAGGUCCUGGAUGGAAUGGAGAGGGCUCCUACUCAACCUCUAACUAUCUUUUCUGAGAGUGGUCAGAGAGUUCUUAAACAGGAUAUUUAUUUGACUGCUACCUUAAAAUACAGGCCGUAAAAAUGCCAGCUUGUUUGGACUUAGAAGAUGACCUGGACAAAUGAUAAAAAUUAAGAAAGACAUUUUGGUUUUUUUAUUGUCCACUUGACAUAUGCUUCUGGAAUAAUAUUCACCAUGGUUUUGGAUGACCUUCCAAACUUAGAAGACAUCUAUACUUCCUUGUGUUCAUCAACAGUAGAAGACUCAGAGAUGGAUUUUGACUCUGGACUAGAAGAUGAUGACUCAAAAAGUGAUAGUAUGUUGGAGGAUUCCACAAUCUUUGUGGCCUUCAAAGGAAAUAUAGAUGAUAAAGACUUCAAAUGGAAAUUGGACACAAUAUUGGAGAAUGUGCCCAAUUUGUUACACAUGGAAUCCAGCAAGCUAAAGGUACAGAAGGUGGAGCCCUGGAACAGCGUGCGUGUGACAUUCAAUAUCCCCCGGGAAGCAGCGGAGCGGCUUCGGAUCCUGGCUCAAAGCAACAACCAGCAGCUUCGGGAUCUGGGAAUUCUCUCCGUUCAGAUUGAAGGUAAAUGUCUGGUUCCAGAUUAUAGGAAUACUAGAAUAUAGCAUGAUUUAUAGCAUGUGCCACUUUGUCUGUUCCUCUUAAGUUGAAUUCACAAUGCCAAAUAACUCACAGAAAGUUAACCAAAAUGAUCACAUGGAUCAUAG